UGGGGAAUAUUGCACAAUGGGCGAAAGCCUGAUGCAGCAACGCCGCGUGCGGGAAGAAGGCCCUAGGGUUGUAAACCGCUUUCAGCAGGGAAGAAAAUGACGGUACCUGCAGAAGAAGGUGCGGCCAACUACGUGCCAGCAGCCGCGGUGACACGUAGGCACCAAGCGUUGUCCGGAUUUAUUGGGCGUAAAGAGCUCGUAGGCGGUUCAGUAAGUCGGGUGUGAAAACUCUGGGCUCAACCCAGAGACGCCACCCGAUACUGCUGUGACUUGAGUACGGUAGGGGAGUGGGGAAUUCCUGGUGUAGCGGUGAAAUGCGCAGAUAUCAGGAGGAACACCAGUGGCGAAGGCGCCACUCUGGGCCGUAACUGACGCUGAGGAGCGAAAGCGUGGGGAGCAAACAGGAUUAGAUACCCUUGUAGUCCCUGAGCGGGCUGGCAAGGCGCAU
rnacentral:rRNA from 1 species